UGAUGGCUGUUCCUCUCAUUGCUUGGAGCUCUGAGUAGUGGGAUUUUAGUCCAUCAUGUGUUUAAGCUGACUUGUCUUCACUCUGGGCACCAUCGGGAUGGGUUGGCUGUCCAUUAGUGCCUUCUGAAUUUUGUGGAGUCAAACAAUU
ensembl:snoRNA